rnacentral:lncRNA from 1 species
CCGCCCCACAUCGACCAGCUGGACGGGGUGGACGACGGGGAGCGGGGACGGCGCGGGGACGGCGAGGACCUGCCCUCCGACAUCGUGGAGUUCGUGCUGCGCAACAUGGCGGGCAGCAUGGCCAAGGGCGGCGCGACGCCCGGCGCCAACGGGGACAACGGCGCCUGGGGGGCGGGGGGGGACGGGCGGCGGCAGCAGCUCCUCAACGCCAGGGGGACGCGGGACGGGCGCGCCUGGCACCACGGGGACGGCACCCGGGGUCACGGAGGUGGCACCUGGGGAAGCGUCACCCGCGGAGAUGGCGCCCACCACCACGGAGAUGGCGCCCAUGGAGAUGGCGCCCAUGGAGAUGGCGCCCACCACCAUGGAGGUGGCACCUGGGGAAGCGUCGCCCAUGGAGAUGUCACCCAUCACCAUGGAGAUGGCACCCACCACCAUGGAGAUGGCACCCACGGAGGUGGCACCUGGGGAAGUGUUGCCCAUGGGGAUGUCACCCACCACCAUGGAGGUGGCACCCAGAGCCAUGGAGAUGGCACCCACCACCAUGGAGAUGGCACCCACGGAGGUGGCACCCACGGUGGUGGCACCUGGGGAAGUGUCGCCCAUGGGGAUGUCACCCACCACCAUGGAGGUGGCACCCAGAGCCAUGGAGAUGGCACCCACGGAGAUGUCACCCACAAGCAUGGAGAUGGCACCUGGGGAAGCGUCACCCGUGGAGAUGGCACCCACCACCAUGGAGGUGUCACCCAUGGAGAUGGCACCCACAGAGGUGGCACCUGGGGAAGUGUUGACCACGGGGAUGUCACCCACAACCAUGGAGAUGUCACCCAUGGAGAUGUCACCCAGAGCCAUGGAGGUGUCGCCCAUGGAGAUGUCACCUGUAACCAUGGAGACGUCACCCGUGGAGAUGUCACCCGCAACCGUGGAGGUGUCACCCAUGGACAUGUCACCUGGGGAAGUGUCACCCACGGAGAUGCCACCCAUGGAGAUGUCACCCACAGAGAUGUCACCCAGAGCCAUGGAGGUGUCGCCCA